CAGCUCGUGUCGUGAGAUGUUGGGUUAAGUCCCGCAACGAGCGCAACCCUUGUCGUUAGUUACCUUGUCUAGCGAGACUGCAUGUAAAAAACAUGAGGAAGGUGGGGAUGACGUCAGAUCAGCACGGCUCUUACGUCCUGGGCUACAAACACGCUACAAUGGCCUGAACAAAGGGUCGCCAAGGCGCAAGCCGGAGCCAAUCCCACAAAUCAGGCCUCAGUUGGAAUUGCAGGCUGAAACUCGCCUGCAUGAACGUGGAGCUGCUAGUAACCGCAGGUCAGCACACUGCGGUGAAUACGUUCCCGGGCCUUGUACACACCGCCCGUCACGUCAUGGAAGCCGAGAACGAUUGAAGUCGCUGAGCUAACCCGCAAGGGAGGCAGGCGCCGAGGUCGGGUUUGGUGACUGGGACGAAGUCGUAACAAGGUAGCUGUACCGGAAGGUGCGGCUGGAUCACCUCCUUUCUAGGGAG
rnacentral:rRNA from 1 species